UUUUAAUUUUUAGUAUAUUAAUCAAUAGAUAGUUUAUAUUAAUCAAUAUAUAGCUCAAAGCCAUAAUGGUUAAAUGGAAUGAGGUUUGGCUGGAAAAGCUUGAUAAAAAUCAAGUUAAAAUUAAACUAUGGGCUGAGAAAAAAAACUCUAAUUUUGCAGUUUGUAAACUAUGUUUUAUAGAUUUGAAAUACAGUUUAGUUGGUUUUCAAGCAUUUAUCAGCGUUCUACAAAACCUAAACAUAAAUUAGUUUCUGAUAUUAGAUUUUCAAAAACAGCUUGUCAUUUGAAUGUGAGAGAAAAUAGUACAACUAGAGUAUUCUAUAAAUGAUAAAAUUUCAGCUGCAGAAGCUAUGUGGCUGUUUAAAGUUGCUGAAAAUGAUCUUGCUUCAAGACAUUGCAAUAAUACAUCAUUAUAAUUUUAAAGAAAGUCAAAAAAAUGCUUGCAGAUUUAUAACAUAAUGAAAGAUUUGAUUUACCAUGGGAUGGACUUUUUAAUAUUUCAACUGAUGGUCCUAAUAUUAAUAAAGCUAUUUGGAAUUUAUUAAAUGCUGAUCUUCAUAACGAUGGUUUUAAUGGAUUAUUACCAUUUGUAAGUUGCACUUUGCACACAGUGCACAAUGCAUUUUGAAAAGCAAUAAUAGUUUUAGGUGAGGAUACUGAGCAGCUUGCAUUUGAUUUACAUGCUUGGUUUAAGGUAUGGGCUUUAUUAGUAAUUUUACUGUUAGUAUUAUUUAAAAAAAAGUUAUUUUUCACUCAUUAUUAGCUAAUAAAAAGUUGUUAGUCUUUAUGCUCAAGUUUGAAAUGUACCCUUUCAAAAACUUCCGCUUGUUUUGCAAAUAUUAAAAGAUUUUACUUGCUUGGGUGCUUAAAUGAGGUCAGAAACUUGGACUGUUUGCAAUUUUGAUGCCAUAUGUUAUAAAGGAAAAAGAGGUAUAAUUUGUGAAAAAUGAAUGGAAAUGUAUCAAGCAGCUAGUAUCUCAAAAGACUGGUAUUUAGAUUCUGAUACAAAAAAACUAAAGAGAGUUGACUAUCACUAUUUUAAGUAUCUAAGUAAAAACUAAGUAUCUAUAUCUCAGUAAAGUUGUUAAGAGCUGUUUAACUGUUCAGAAUGGAAACAGUGCAGAGCGAAGUUUAUCAGAUAAUAAAAAUACAUUGACUACAGAUCGAGUAAAACUAAAUGAUGAAACAUUGAUGGCUUUAAGAGUAUCAAAGGAAUACGCAAGAAGUUGCAAUGGAGCAUAUAAUGUUGAUGUUCUCUCUAAAGAUGUUGUUCAAGCAGUGCAAAAUGCUCACAGAAUAUA